CCUGAAGAUCCUCCUAAGCGCUGUAACUGCAAUGUGCCUGAUUGCUAGGGGCAUUAACGCCGGGAUAAUAUACCAUAGCCCAAGAUUCCAGUGCAUUCCUCCUUCAGUUCAACUUUGGCAACCCACAAUCUACAAUAUUCCCGGGCGCAUUCUCUGUGCCAAUACAUGCUCCCAGAAGAGAUGCUUUUUCUACGAAGUCUCAGCAACGAAUGGGCCUUGCAAGAUCUAUGGCAUAGGAAUGGAAUCGACGAAUUAUUAUGUGAGAAUUGAUGCGGCAACACUUCCUCCAGGAGGUCCUCUUCAGGAGAAGGCUAGAUAUCGACCAACUUACCCUUUAUCAUCAUUGGCUCUUUCAUCCAACGCAGUUGAUGAUGAUGUGCCGAGCUUUUGGGAGAAUGGAUUGUUGAAUCCUUGGUGGAUGGUUGACCUCGGAGCUUAUUAUAUGAUCCACUACGUUAACAUCUUGCCAAGACAAGGAUACUACACGUAUCGGUUCCAAAGUGUGGAGGUUCGAGCUGGUCCACAGUUGAAAACGGACGGAAACUUGACUCAGUGGGAAUUAGUAGGAUUUUACCCAGGUGUCUAUGCAGGUGGGAAUGCUCGUAUUCAGUUCAAUAAUACCCAAGGAGUAUGCGGAAGAUUUCUCUCUGUGCAGCGAAACAACAGCCUGAAUGAUGUGUUAGCUCUUGCUGAUGUUUUGGUUUAUGUUCGCAAGAGUCCAUACAACUAAGAUGCUUAUAAACUGGAAAGGAUGGGAAGGCCAAGAUCAUUCAUUAAAACUAGAUUUAAGGAGCAAUUGGUGUAGUUCGAGGCUUCAGUGGGGAUAACAAGUUAUAUACAACUAAAUUGUUGUUGUCAUGGUGAUCCGAUUAGUUGAGCAAAAGACAAAAUCCUCCGUAAUUGCCAGGAGGUCUGAAAGCCCACAUAGAUCACAUCAUGGCUGCUGUUGGCUGAGUCGCGGCACCAUUUCUGUUUUAUGGCACGAAGCGGAAAAGUUACGCUUCCUUAACAUGUGCCUAAAAGAGCAUUUAAGGCCUGAAGUCCUAUGGUUCAGUUCUCUAAUCACUGUCACAGAAAAGUUUGCACUGGUUCUACUUCAUCCUCGGCAGCCGCACUCUAGUUGUUAUAGACGACUCCUCGAAAAAGAUAAAUGCCUGCUGUCUCCCGAGUUCACAAUGAGUUAAAAAAACACAAAAGCAGUGUUUCUCUCUCUCUCUCUCUCUCUCUCUCUCUCUCUCUCUCUCUCUCUCUCUCUCUCUCUCUCUCUCUCUCUCU